CCCGACACUACAACCUGUCCGUAGAGCUGCAACUCGGAAACUCCAUUACCUACAGGGUCAUCAGCUGUCUCAUCAGGCUGCACGCGGCCCACGUACCAAUGAAGACCAAUGCACCCAGAGUUCUCGAGAUUACUGCCUGGUAGCCGGGAGAGGAGCAUGUGGCUACAAGAGCUAGAGAGCAGAGGUGAGACAGAGUGUCCAGGGAGG